UACGUAGGGGGCAAGCGUUGUCCGGAAUCAUUGGGCGUAAAGAGCGCGUAGGCGGCCCUGUAAGUCCGCUGUGAAAGUCAAGGGCUCAACCCUUGAAUGCCGGUGGAUACUGCAGGGCUAGAGUCCGGAAGAGGCGAGUGGAAUUCCUGGUGUAGCGGUGAAAUGCGCGGAUAUCAGGAGGAACACCGAUGGCGAAGGCAGCUCGCUGGGACGGUACUGACGCUGAGACGCGAAAGCGUGGGGAGCAAACAGG
rnacentral:rRNA from 1 species